rnacentral:rRNA from 1 species
AGUGAACGCUGGCGGUAGGCCUAACACAUACAAGUCGAACGGCAGCACAGUAAGAGCUUGCUCUUACGGGUGGCGAGUGGCGGACGGGUGAGGAAUACAUCGGAAUCUACUUUUUCGUGGGGGAUAACGUAGGGAAACUUACGCUAAUACCGCAUACGACCUACGGGUGAAAGCAGGGGAUCUUCGGACCUUGCGCGAUUGAAUGAGCCGAUGUCGGAUUAGCUAGUUGGCGGGGUAAAGGCCCACCAAGGCGACGAUCCGUAGCUGGUCUGAGAGGAUGAUCAGCCACACUCGAACUGAGACACGGUCCAGACUCCUACGGGAGGCAGCAGUGGGGAAUAUUGGACAAUGGGCGCAAGCCUGAUCCAGCCAUACCGCGUGGGUGAAGAAGGCCUUCGGGUUGUAAAGCCCUUUUGUUGGGAAAGAAAAGCAGCAGGUUAAUACCCCGCUGUUCUGACGGUACCCAAAGAAUAAGCACCGGCUAACUUCGUG